CUUUGGAUUCCUCUUUUUGGUCUUCAUCAUCCUCAUCGUGACUUGUGCGGAAAUAACCAUCGUGCUCUGCUACUUCCAGUUGUGUAGUGAGGAUUACUUGUGGUGGUGGCGGUCAUAUCUUACCUCUGGUUCCUCUGCUCUUUACCUCUUUCUUUACGCAACUUUCUACUUCUUCACCAAGCUUGAAAUCACAAAGUUGGUAUCUGCGAUAUUUUACUUUGGGUACAUGCUCAUAGCUUCUUAUGCAUUUUUUGUGGUGACCGGUACAAUCGGAUUUUAUGCAUGCUUUUGGUUCACUAGGCUCAUCUACUCCUCCGUCAAAAUUGAUUAGAUAUAGCAGUCAGCGGUUUGGACCAAUCUACAUACUUCUUAAAGAAUGAAGAAAGUUUGUGUAAGGAUUUUGAUAUUCAGAUGAUACUAGCAUGUUCAGAUGUAACCUAUUUUAUAUACAAUUUUGAACUGUGUCGACGGUGAUUUUU
rnacentral:lncRNA from 1 species